GUUGAUCCUGCGGGAGGAUGCUGCUAUUUGGAUUCGAUUAAGCCAUGCAAGUCAGGUAGUAAUACCGGCAGAAUGCUCAGUAACACGUCAUUAACUUUACCUUAGGUCUGGAAUAACCUUGAGAAAUUGAGGAUAAUACCGGAUAAAGAAUUUGCUCUGGAAUGAGUUUUUCUUUAAAGAUUACGCCUAAGGAUAGGAUGGCGGCUGAUUAGGUUGUUGGUGAGGUAAAGGCUCACCAAGCCGAGGAUCAGUAGGGGCCUUGAGAGAGGUGACCUCGAGAAGGGUACCGAGGAACUGACCCUAGCCCUACGGGGUGCAGCAGGCGCGAAAACUUUACAAUGUACGAAAGUGUGAUAAGGGAAUCCAAAGUGCUAGUACAAUGUACUGGCUUUUUUUAAAGGUAAAAACUUUGAAGAAUAAGUGGUGGGCAAGACCGGUGCCAGCAGCCGCGGUAACACCGGCGCCACAAGUGGCAUCCAUAUUUACUUGGCCUAAAGCGUCCGUAGCCUGUUUGAUAAAUCUUGCGUGAAAUCGUCAAGCUUAACUUGACGACGUGCGUGAGAAACUGUCAAACUCGGAACCGGGAGGAGUCAGAGGUAUUCUUUGGGGAGCGGUAAAAUGCUAUAAUCCUUAGAAGACCACCUGUGGCGAAGGCGUCUGACUAGAACGGAUUCGACGGUGAGGGACGAAAGCCAGGGGAGCGAUCCGGAUUAGAUACCCGAGUAGUCCUGGCUGUAAACUCUGCGAGCUAGGUGUUGCGCAUUCUUCGAGAGUACGCAGUAUCGUAGCGAAGGCGUUAAGCUCGCCGCCUGGGAAGUAUGGUCGCAAGACUGAAACUUAAAGGAAUUGGCGGGGAAGCACUACAAGAGGUGCGGCGUGCGGUUUAAUUGAAUUCAACACCGGAAAUCUCACCAGCAGCGACGGCAGAAUGAAGGUCAGAUUGAAGGUCUUACCUAACAAGCCGAGAGGUGGUGCAUGGCCGCCGUCAGCUCGUGCCGUAAGGUGUCCAUUUAAGUAUGGUAACGAGCGAGAUCUGUGCUUACAAUUGCUAACAAGUUCUUUAGAAUGAUUGAGCACAUUGUGAGGACUGCCUUGGAAACAAGGAGGAAGGUGCAGGCCACGGUAGGUCUGUAUGCCCCGAAUCUGCUGGGCUACACGCGCGCAACAAUGGUAGGAACAAUGGGAUACAACUCUGAAAAGAGAAGUUAAACCUCGAAAUCCUAUCCAAGUUCAGAUCGAGGAUUGUAACUCAUCCUCGUGACGCUGGAAUCUCUAGUAAUCGGAAGUCAACAGCUUCCGGUGAAUAUGUCCCUGCUUCUUGCACACACCGCCCGUCAAACCAACCGAACAGGGUUUAGGUAAGGGUCAGUUUUUUUGACUUCCUCGAAUCUAAGCUCAGUGAGGUGGGUUAAGUCGUCACAAGGUA
rnacentral:rRNA from 1 species